UCCUCCUUGGUUGUGCAUCAAACGGAAGUACAUAAUGAUGUGUAUGAUGAUAGCCGAUCCCAAACAGCUAGUAAAUGACAUUGAUGUCUAUCUUGCUCUGUUGAUUGAAGACCUCAGGAAAUUAUGGGUAGAAGGGGUUGAUGUGUAUGAUAGGAAUACUCAGGAGACAUUCAGGUUGCGUGCAAUGAUUUUUUGCACCAUUAACGACUUUCCGACAUAUGGGAAUUUGAGUGGAUAUAGUGUCAAAGGCCACCACGCAUGUCCUAUAUGUGAGAAAGACACAAGUUACAUCCAAUUAAAGCAUGGAAAGAAUACAGUGUAUACAAGACAUCGAAGAUUUUUAAAAGCUUUUCACCUAUACAGGCGAAUAAAGAAGGCAUUUAAUGGCACAUCUGAGUUUGACAGUGCACCGAUUCCUUUGUCAGGUCAUGAAGUUUUUGAUCGGGUGAAGAGCAUUGUCACUAUAUAUGGGAAGACGCAAAAAAAGGAUGGGUCCCACAACCAGAUUUGGAAGAAAAAGUCUAUAUUUUUUUAUUUUCCUUACUGGUGUGAUUUAGAUGUCAGACAUUGUUUAGAUGUUAUGCAUGCUGAGAAAAAUGUAUGUGAUAGUCUAGUUGGGACAUUGCUAAACAUUAAAGGCAAGACAAAAGAUGGUUUGAAAUGUCGUCAAGAUUUAGUAGAGAUGGGCAUACGACAACAGUUGCACCCAGUUUCAAAAGGUGUUCGAACUUAUUUGCCGCCCGCAUCUCAUACAAUGUCAAAGACUGAGAAAAAAAGCUUUUGUCAUUGUCUAAAAAAUGUCAAAGUCCCACAAGGAUACUCUUCAAAUAUAAAGAGCCUUGUAUCAGUGAGUGAUAUGAAAUUGGUUGGCUUGAAGUCUUAUGAUUGUCACGUUUUAAUGCAACAAUUAUUGCCUAUAGCCAUCCGGGGUAUAUUGCCUGACAAAGUAAAGGUUGCAAUAACUAGAUUGUGUUUUUUCUUCAAUGCCAUCUGCAGCAAAGUAAUCGACCUGAAGCAGUUGGAUGAUUUGGAAAAUGAGGAUUCCAUUAUCAUUUGUCAAUUGGAGAUGUAUUUUCCACCUACAUUUUUUGACAUAAUGGUUCACUUGGUUGUUCAUCUAGUUUGAGAAAUACGGUUGUGCAGGCCCAUUUAUCUGCGUUGGAUGCAUCCGGUUGAGUGAUACAUGAAGAUAUUGAAAGGUUAUACGAAGAAUCAAUAUCGCCCCGAAGCAAGCAUUGUUGAAAGGUAUGUGGCUGAAGAAGCCAUUGAAUUUUGUUCUGAGUACAUUCAAAAUGGUUCACCUGUUGGUCUUCCUGAAAGUCGUCACGAGUCCACCUGGCAAGGAAGGGGUACACGAGGAUUCAAUGUUGUAACCAUGGAUCGGGAACAGGUCUCACAAGCGCAUUUAUAUGUACUAAACAACACUGCUGAAGUUAUACCAUACUUAGAUGCUCACAAAGAAUAUGUUGCAGCUUGUCACCCAAACAUGAAUAUGAUGCGCGUGUUGCAAGAGCACAAUAGGAGUUUCAUUAAUUGGUUUAGAAAAACAAUUUUUGGAAUUGACACUUCUUCUAAGACAUUAACAAUGUUAGCUGUUGGGCCUAAUCUGAAUGUCCUCACUUGGAAGGGGUAUGAUAUCAACAAUUAUUCAUUUUACACAAAAUCGCAGGAUGAUCACAGUGUUGUACAAAACAGUGGAGUCACCAUUGAUGCUCAUUCGGACCACUUUAGUAGUGUUGUAGAUAACCAUCCUAUUCGAGCAUUCGUGCCUUAUUAUGGACUAAUCAAGGAAAUUUGGGAGCUUGAUUAUGGUGAAUUUAGAGUGCUUAUUUUCAAGUGCCAAUGGGUUAAUGGAAAUGCAGGUGUCUGACAAGACAAAAUGGGGUUUACUUUGGUUGACCUUCAAAGGAUUGGUUAUAAGGAUGAGCCAUUCAUCCUGGCAGCACAAGCAAGACAUGUGUUCUAUGUUGAAGAUCCCAACGACUCAAGAUGGUCAGUUGUUCUUCAGGGGAAAACAAUUGGUAUCUCUCCUGAUAUUGAUGCUUCAACCCUUGAUGUUAACGACAUGCCAACCUUCUCCACAGAAAUGCCUGCCAUAAAUGAUGAAAAUGAGGAGGAUGAUGUAUAUGCAAAUCGUAUCGAUCAUGACGAAGGUUUAUGGGAAAAUACAUCUACUUGAAUGCGGUAUAUAACACCAUUUUGUCUACCUUAUCCAUUGUCAUUUUAAAUUUCUUAUUAUUUGUAGUUCAUUACUAUUUGAUACAUGUAUGUUGUGGUAAUUUAGUUGGCUUAAUUAAUUUCUGUAUUUCUAUGCAGGCAUGGCAACAUCCCCGAGGUCCCCGCCACCACCAGAUUCUCCUACGGAAACCACAAAAAAGAAGACUAGACAAACUACCAGGAUGCGAAGGUUGACUGCCAAAAGCUUAGAUCAACCACGACCAACUGUCCAUGUCAACCCUUCUACUGGUAGAGGAUCUGGCCCUCAUAAAGAAAAAUUUCAUAGUUACCUGGGGGUAGUGGCACGGGAGAAAAUCCCUAUCGUUCAUACUACUUGGAAGGAUGUCCCAGAAACUCUAAAAGUUCUUGUAUGGGAUGACAUUUUGGUAAGUACGCUAAACUGGUAACUAGAUAUUUAUUAUUGGAGUAACUUAUUCCAAAGUAUUUAGAAGUAACAUGUAAGCAAAACAGAGAACGUAAAAUAAAUAGAGAACGUAAAAUAAUUUCUAUUUUAUUUUAAAAUUUUAAUUUUAAAGUAACAUGUAAGCAAAACAAAAAAAUAUGUACCAAUCCAAAGGAUUCGAAGGAACAUUUCUUUUUAAGGUGACAUUAUUUUUAAAAUAACUCAUUUUUAACUUUUAAUUUAGUUUUAAAGAUAAAUUUUGAUUGAUUUACUUUAAAAAUAAUUUGUCCCUAAUGAAAUAUCAUCUAAUUGGAUCCAACACCGUGUGAUGAAUAAUACAAAACAAUGCAGACAACAAUAAUUUAUUAUAGUUACAGACUUACUUUGAACAGCAGAAAUUAUUGAUGUCAGUUGAUUUGGGGAAAGUAUAGAUCAGUUCAAAAUUUUUGUAGAUAUUGCAAAAGAUAGUAGCUAGCUAGCACACUAAGGGAAGAUUGGUGGUUGGGUAGCACAUGUUAAAAUCGUGAGUAGUAGUAGUAGUGAGUACCCAAUCAGUACCAAACAAUUGGGCGAGAGCAUCUAGUGCCCGCCAUAAGCUGAAACGAUGAGUAAGAUACACGUACAUGGCAAUAUAAAUAACUGUCAAAUCGUGGCCAGAAUAUCUAUCUAUCUUCAGGUAUGGUAGCAAGUCAACUUUGCAUCAAGCCUUGCAAUUUGGAACUUGCGGGGCAGAUUGUUAACGAGAGAAAAAAAAUUAAGAGGAAGCUUUGAUAUUUGUAUGAUGUUAAAUCGCCUCGUUGGAUUGGUGAAAUGAAAGAGACGAAAAAUAGAGCUUUAAAAAAAGUCAAGGGAAUUGGAGGGGUUUUUAUUGGUAGAUUGUGGAGAAAAUAAGUUGACACAACUAUAGAGCCCAAAGAAAGGGUCUGACAAAACAAAACAAACGAUAUAGUAGUAUUAUUAUGCUUUUAUUCGUUAGCUUCAAUCAUUAUUGUGGAGGGGCUCUCCACAUGUCAAAGUGCUGUGCUUGGAGGGUCCAACCGGUGCAAAAUUUUCAUCUUAAAAUGAAACAUUUCAUCAUGCCAAGAAGCAACUUGUAACAUGAAAGUCCCUCUAAUUAGUAAUUAUAAGAUUAUUGGCAAUUCCUCCCCUAAGUUGUUUUGUACCAAUGUGAUUCGGCAUGUAAGGCAUGUCUUUUGUAGUUUGUUCAGUGCUCCUGCAAUUUGCAAUGGGGUUUCAUUCCUUCACUCAUAGUGCAGCUUUUGUCAUGGUCUUUUUUUGUUUUUAUCUUGAGAAUUAGGGAGUGCCCAUUUGUGCUUCCCACAGUGAUGUUGAAUUGAAGCCAACUUGAGCAUUCAGUCAGACCCUGUCAUGGCUUCAACAUCAUCAUGUCCACUAUCCACGAGGGUCUUAGAGUGCUACAAAAUAAAAUGGCUAUGUACAAAACAUAAUUGAUUUAAUUUCUCAUUUCAUCUUAUAGUUACAUAUUUUCUUAUGAUUUACUUCCUACACUUACACUAUUUAAUCUGUUUUAGUCUUUAUGGAUACUAAAACAGAUUUAAAAAGUAUGAAUACAGGAACUAGAAACCAAAAUUUUAAAAUUAUAUAAAUAUAUAUAAGAACCAAAUGAAUAAUUAAAUCGUCGAUCUUAGUUUCUUCUCAGAACUCAAUUCUAAGAAAUAUAUAUAAGAUGCACCACAUCGUUUCAGCUUAUGGCGGUUUAAAUUUGUACUCAUUUCAAUUACAAAAUGUGUUUUUAUAUUAUUUAAAAAAUACUCAUACAAUAUACAAUAUACUGUACCUAUGAACAUUUAAGCAGUAUUCUUGAAAAGUAUUAAGUUACGGGUAUUAUGACUAGUUUGGUCACGAGUUUAAGAAAGAACAAUAGCAGCAAUGUGGCCUUGCUAGUGUGAAAAGAACAUUCUAACUGGGUAAAUGGUUGUGAACAUUUUCGAUUAUUCUAUUGUUGAAUCCAGAAUAUAUAGAAAACGACCUCUCCUCUGUUUGUCACUUUGUGUGCCUUUAAUUUUCUCUUCAUGUGGUGGUGGACUGCAAGGAAAGCAAACUUGGCAGUUGUACUGAACCAAGAGGAAAGAAAACUUGCAAUUAGAUUAGUAUUGAAUAUCGCUCCCAAAUGAAUUAGUAUUGAAUAAGAUUAGUAUUGAAUAUCGCUCCUCUUCCUCAAUCUGAAUUAUCAUGGUUACUGAACCAAGAGGAAAGAAAACUUGCAAUUAGAAACAAGAAUAAUAGCAGAGAUCAAUCUCUCAUAGGGAGAUGUACCCAUCUUUGGGAGAGAGACAUGAAAUAUUGGAUGGAUGCGACACCGUGGGGGUGGGGGUCCAAUUGUAGCUGAUAAGAAACAUUGUCAAUCCAGUCCAAAAAAUGUCUUCCUGGUCAGAGACAAUGGUGGCGUGAAUACCUUUGUGGUAAUUAGUAAUAUUUGCAAGUGGCCUGCAGGAGAUAAGGUAUGACUUAUUUUGUGAUUGUUCUGAUAAAGCCUGACAGGAAAGCUACUGGAUGGCCUUCAUGCAGCAAAACAGUCCUGAACCCUUUAUUGAAUGCAUCUAUCUGCAGAAUAAAAUGUUUUGAGAAAUCUGGUAUUGUGAAACUAGAUGUCUAGUCAUGUCUUCCCUGGGAUGAAUCCAUAAAUUAUUAUGGGUUGCUGAUAGAAAAUAAGUCUUAUUUAUAGACAUUAAAUAAAAGUGCAAGCCAAAAAAGUUAAAUAGAUCGUAGACUAUUAGUUAUAUACAUUGAGAACAAAAUAAAAAAAUAAUUAAAAUUAAAAGUACUUAAUGAAAUUUAUUUAUGAUAUAACAACUACAAUAUUGUUUUAAAAAAUUAAAUAUAAUAAAACAAUGAAAUACUAUUCUAGAAGUGGUGGGAUUAUACAUAUGCUGUUGAACAAUUACUUUGUAAGCUACUGAACAUUGACUGCUAUAGUUUAGCAACCAAUCUCAUAUUUUGUGCGGAAUACUGGUUGUUGUUUUGGAAUGGUUAUUUGCUGCAUCGAAGAGUUUUGCGUUUUAUUUGUCGAAGACGCUGAACCAACAUCUCUAUGAUGUGUUAAUGGGAAUGAAAACUUAGGAAAAUAGUGUUACCUCAUGACCCUUUGAUCCACCCAAGAAGCCAUCUAUAUUUUGACUUAAAUUGUCCAUAUCCUUAUCUCGAACCAAUUGACACACUCACAUAUGACAUUGCACUAGUGCAACACAACAUUAGCAAGUUAAUGUCCUGCAACAUGCAGGGAUAUUAAUAAAGUGGAGAGAAAUUUUUUUUUUGUUAGUUUAAUGUCUUCUUUUACUUUGACUUUAUUAGCCAUAAAAAGACAUAAGAAGAGAGUUAAAUUAUGUUUAAUUUUAAAAAAAUCACAAAUAUUUUGAAAACGUUGAAUUGUUUAAUGCUACGACAUUAUUUUAGCACAUGGAUUUAAACACUAAUGAAAAAGACUUUUUAAAACUUUGGACGAUACUUAAUAAAUCCUUACCCAUUUUUAAGCAUUAGCUUCCCAUAAAAUUUUUAAUAGAAAUAAUGAAUUUACAAAUUAACCUUUUUGCCAUAUACUUUCUUCCUUGUGUUAGGCAACUUAAUCCUUAUCGCAUUAUUAGAAUAUUAUAUUAAUUUGAUUUGGGAUUCCAAAUUUUAUUUAAAAAGUAUAUAAAUUACAUAUUUGAUUCCUUUAAAAUAUAGUUUUUGAAAUAUAAAUCAUGGAUAAAUUGUAUAGAAAUAAUAAUUGACUAGGAAAUCAACCAUUGAAAACUAAUUACCUAACAAAAUAGGGUGGCAUCACAAAGGUAGAUCAUAAAUGUUGAGGAUAUAGGAGUUAAGAAAGGCUUGUUGGACUUAGACAAAUGGGCUCAAUCAAGAAUGCAUAUGAAGUAAUUACGUAAAGGAGAAAUCCUUUGAAGUAGGAAUAUGUUAACCUCUAGAGAAGUGAAAAGGUGUACUAAGAUUUUACUUUUCUUUUGAAAAUGGCCCAUUACUUUUUUAACUAUUGAUUGUAUAAUCAAUAGUUAUUACUCUGUAAUUUUGUUUUAUAAAGUACAGUCCAUGCUUUAAUUAGAGGAGCUAAAUUCAUAAAGAAUAAAGAAAUUCAAUUUAACAGUCCAAUUUCAUUGUUAUGAAAUAAACUUGUGUAUUUUUUUUGUUUCACAAAAAACUACAACAGCUGGUCUGAAAAAAAAAACACAAGUUGCUACACACUCCUAUAACUCAAGCCAUUUAAGCCACUACAAUUGAUAAAUUGUAUAAGAGCUUUGGAUGUGAAUGGAAUCAGAAAUUCAAAUUUCUAUUACUUUCAUUAUACCAAAAAGAGAAAACUCCCUCUUUCUCUCUCUCUCUCACACACACACACAAGCCUAUUUAAAUCAGCAUUUAUAGCAACUGAAAUGCUAUUCUUUUAUUUAUAUUUGUUGAUUUGAUACAUUUAUGUCAAUAUUAACACCAGAGCUGCGGGCUACAUGUUCCUCCUAGCAACCUCCUCAGCCCCCUCACACUUUGAAUAAACAAAGAAAAGAAAAACGGGUUGCUAAUGCUGGGUAAUUAAUAUUCCAGCAUCACCCAUACAUAAAACACUUUAACAUUUAAUGCAAACACCCCCCCGACUUACAUUUAUAUUAAUUAUUAACCUUACUUUCACUUUUACUUUUCCUAAAACUACCUUUCUCUUAAUUUUCUUUUAACCCCCUACCACCCACUCCGAAGCUUUCCUAGGAAAAUAGAGGGAAGUUAGAAGCAGGGAAAUUGAAGCAAACAAACUCAAAAAUACCAGGAGCCAUUAAUUUAAGAGUAUUGUUAUUUUCUUCUCUCUUUUCUUCUUCUUCUUUGAUUUAGACACGGAAAUACCA
rnacentral:lncRNA from 1 species